CUCAAGACACACGCUCCCGGCAAUGGGUUUCACCGACUCCGUCCGAAGCAGUGGCUGGAUCUGGAGAGAGGGCGACAGACAGAGACAGAGGAUAAGGACAUGCCAUUGACUGAAUAUUGGGAAACAGUUAUGUUUGGAACCACAGCUACCCCUUGGACCCCCCCAGUUAGCAGAGCUCCCGUCGUCCCUGAAAUCUUAAAAAGCUGAGCAGGCAUGAAGGAGGAAGUGCCAUCGUAGGAAGGCAAAUUUACUGACAAGGGCAUCGGAGGGCUCAGAGCCCAUUUGCAGAGGAAGAGACGGAAUCUGAUUGCGGACUCCGUGAAUCUGCUGAUGACGCGGCCAGCGGACGGUGGGCCGUUGAAGGCACGCAUGCUUCCUAUAUCUGGAUCCUGCAAGCACUCACUCAGUGUCCGCCAGACAUUGCACGGAAGACCCAGAGGACACGGAUCUACGUCCCUGGCAUUGGGAGCUUACAGUCAAGUGUGGAGAGAGAUGAGCCCGUGGACAAGUAGCUUCGGGCACCCUGGGUGCCGUGGGAACAGGGGAACGCACGGCGGCGCGGAGCCUCGCUGCAACUCCCGGCGGGGCCUGUGCGGAGUUGCUUCCCCAAGGAGGCCGGGCUGGAGCAGAGCUGGGACGGGCGCGGCAGUUAGCCAGGGGACCCGGAGGGAAAGCCCGGCAGUGGUAACGACGCACAGCUCUGUGCACACUACCGGCGGGACAGGUGUCCAGAAUUUGGGGAAGAGUGAAGCAAUCUAAUUUGCUAAAAA